rnacentral:rRNA from 1 species
UACGGAAGGCAGCAGUGGGGAAUAUUGCACAAUGGGCGCAAGCCUGAUGCAGCCAUGCCGCGUGUAUGAAGAAGGCCUUCGGGUUGUAAAGUACUUUCAGUCGUGAGGAAGGUGUUAAGGUUAAUAACCUUAGCAAUUGACGUUAGCGACAGAAGAAGCACCGGCUAACUCCGUGCCAGCAGCCGCGGUAAUACGGAGGGUGCGAGCGUUAAUCGGAAUUACUGGGCGUAAAGGGCACGCAGGCGGUUAAUUAAGUUGGAUGUGAAAUCCCCGGGCUUAACCUGGGAAUGGCAUUCAAGACUGGUUAGCUAGAGUCUUGUAGAGGGGGUAAAAUUCCAUGUGUAGCGGUGAAAUGCGUAGAGAUGUGGAGGAAUACCGGUGGCGAAGGCGGCCCCUGGACAAAGACUGACGCUCAUGUGCGAAAGCGUGGGGAGCAAACAGGGAUUAGAUACC